rnacentral:rRNA from 1 species
AUGAAGUGCCUAGACAGUGUAAUAGCAAGGAAGAAGAUCACGGAAGAGGAACUCAUAAGACGCAGAAGGUGUGCUCUACUUGCAAAGCAGGCAAUUCAAGUGGAAGAAGGUGCAGCAGGUAUACGUGAUCCUGAGAAAGUUUCAACGAAGGGUGUACCUAAGAAAGGCCGGUCAAAGGGUGGCCCUGACGUUACGAAAAAUGGUAGACCUAAAGAUUUUAGAGAGAAGAAAAGUGGUCUGUUGUGCAGUCUUUGUAAUUUACCAGGUCAUAACAAGGCGACAUGUAGUCUAAACGAGAAGUAA